CUGAGACCAGGGAAUCUUCUGGAAGGCUGACCAUAGAGGUUGGGGAUGUUUACAAUGGGCCCAGAUCCCUCCCUUCUUUUUCACAGCCACACAGGGAGUCCCUUCCCUUCUUCAAAAAGGCAACAGUAGCUUCUGAAGUGGUGAGAGAAGGGAGGGACACCAAGCUCACAAUGGAGCUACACCCGUCUUAGAAUGGUUGCUAGAUAGCCAGGGAAGACACCAAAGAAAGUUUUCCUCAUACAAUUCGGGUAUGGGACAGCAAGGGAGGGAGGGGAAGGGGUCUGACAGCCACUGACCAAACCCCAUGCCCCUGCAGCCGUCUUGGGGGUGUGGGCAAAGAGGAGAGUCAGGUGCUUCUGGCCUCUCCAAAGUGGGGCUCUGAGCCUGUUAAUACAAGCACCGAUGCUCUGGGCCACUCUUCCUUACCAGAGUUCCAGCUCUGGAGGCGACUGCCUUCGAAUCUUUUUAGAUCUAGCUUCUGGGCUGGUUCACUGGUUAUGUCGACUUGUCUGCGCCGUAGGGUGCCCAGAUGUUUGCUCAAACAUUAUUCUGGGUGUGAUCCCUGUGAGUUUUUCUGGAUGAGAUUAACAUUUGGAUUGGAAGGCUGAAUAAAGCGGAUUGCCUGCCCUAAGAGAAAGGGCUUCCUUCAGUCAGUGCAAGACCUGGAGAGAACGAGACACCUCGGUAAGAGGGAGCUGCUCUGCCGGCUGCAGCUCUGGCGAACGAUCACCCUCACUGACUUGAUGAAGCAGGCAGCUGUACGGAAGAAGCCCACGUGGCAGAGGAAGGCUGCCUCCAGCUGAAAAAGAUGGGGCCCACGGUCAUAAAACCACAAGGAAAUAACUUCUGCCAACACCUUCAAAGUACUUGCAAUCUGAUCUUCCUCAAGCCCAGUCUCUGAUGAGAGCAAGCUUCAUCCAGAACUUGGACUGAAACCCUCCGGGACACUAAAGCAGAGAACUAUUGCUAGGCUUUGCCUGAACUGCCACCACACAGAAACUAUGGUGAAAAUGCCAAAAGAAUUUUUCAGCUCCAUUACCUUAUGGGACCACUGUCAUAGAUGCAGUCUGUUCCUGACCAAAAUGUCAUCAAGCAGAUCCUGACUGUAACAGAUGACAAAAAAUGACCACCAUACUUCUCCUGUCCCUUUAUCCAUACCGUUUGCAACAUGAUUUUAUAAACUCCUUUCAUGAAGAUACAGA
ensembl:lncRNA